rnacentral:rRNA from 1 species
AUUGAACGCUGGCGGAAUGCUUUACACAUGCAAGUCGAACGGCAGCACGGACUUCGGUCUGGUGGCGAGUGGCGAACGGGUGAGUAAUACAUCGGAACGUGCCCAAUCGUGGGGGAUGACGUAGCGAAAGCUACGCUAAUACCGCAUACGAGCUAAGGAUGAAAGCGAGGGAUCGCAAGACCUCGCGCGAAUGGAGCGGCCGAUGGCAGAUUAGGUAGUUGGUAGGGUAAAGGCCUACCAAGCCGACGAUCUGUAGCUGGUCUGAGAGGAUGAUCAGCCACACUGGGACUGAGACACGGCCCAGACUCCUACGGGAGGCAGCAGUGGGGAAUUUUGGACAAUGGACGCAAGUCUGAUCCAGCCAUUCCGCGUGCAGGAUGAAGGCCCUCGGGUUGUAAACUGCUUUUGUACAGAACGAAAAGGCUCUGGUUAAUACCUGGGGCUCAUGACGGUACUGUAAGAAUAAGCACCGGCUAACUACGUGCCAGCAGCCGCCGUAAUAC